AGUGAACGCUGGCGGUAGGCCUAACACAUGCAAGUCGAACGGGAGCACAGUAAGAGCUUGCUCUAACGAGUGGCGACGGGCGGACGGGUGGGGAAUAAAUCGGCAUCUACUUUUGCGUGGGGGAAGGCGUAUGGUAACUAACGCUAAUAACGCAUACGACCUGCGGGUGAAAGCAGGGAAUCUUCAGACCUUGCGCGAUUGAUUGAGCCGAUGUCGGAUUAGCUAGUUGGAGGGGUAAAGGCCACCCAAGGAGACGGUCGGUAGCUGGCCUGAGAGGGUGAGGAGGCACACUGGAACUGAUACACGGUCCAGAGUCGUACGGGAGGCAGCAGUGAGGAAUAUUGGACGAAGGGGGCAAGACUGAUCCAGCCAGACCGCAUGGGUGAAGAAGGCCUUCUGGUUGUAAAGCGCUGGUUUUGGGAAAGAAAAGUAGCUGGAGAAUACCACGCGGUUCUGACGGUACCCAAAGAAGAAGCAACGGCUAACUUCGUG
rnacentral:rRNA from 1 species